rnacentral:rRNA from 1 species
AUGGAGCCAGCGCUCAUCGACCACUCCCGCCGGCCGCGCAACAGCCACAAGGUCAUCGCGUCCUCCCCUGCGCUGGAGCACCAGGCGUACCUACUCCACCAGCACGCUGUGGUGGUCACGGCGGUCCGCACCACUGCGCACGCGGCCAACCCCCUAUCCAUUGUCCGCGCGCUAGAGAAGGAGUUCAAGAUCCCGCCCCACCUGCUGCGCGUCACCAACCAUGACCCCAAAGAUUUCUUCGUCUUCUUCACCAUGCCCGCCCACAAGAACCUCGUGGUGCAGCGAGGCUCGCUGUCCGUCGACGGCGUGCCGUUCCUGCUUGAGCCAUGGCGGGAGGACGCCCACGCCGUCCGCCUCAAGUGGAUGCUGCAUGUGCGUGUGGUCAUCGAGAAGCUGCCCAUGACCCUCUGGACGCUGGAGGGCGCGGUGGCGGCCAUUGGCGACAAGGUGAUCGUGGAUCGGCUGGACAGCCGCACGCAGGAGCGCGCCGACACCAAGCUCUUUGCGUGGGGCGGGCCACGUCAACGAGAUGCUGGGCUACUCCCCCCCCCGAGCCGCGCGGUGGCGCCUCCCCCCGAGCUGCUGCAGUACGACCUCCUGCUACACCUCGACCGCGUUGAAGACUGGACCCCGCUCUCACCACGGUCAUCCCGUUCGCCCCAGAGCGGCAUUCCCUCAGACGACGACGAGCCUGACGAGCGCCCAUACCCCCGCGUCGAGCCGGGUGUCUGGACGCCGCAGGUGGAAGAUGGCAGACGUGGCCCUGAGCCAGCAUUGUCCAUGCGCUCGCAGCCCCGUGUGGCGGCCACGGGCUGCCGGGGCAUGCCUUCUGGCGAGGCCAGGCGCGACUGCAACGAAGAUGACCCCGGCUACAAGCGGCGCCACUCACCUUCACAAAUGAAGACGGCGAGGGCAGCGAUGAAACCCUGGACCUGGGGCCUGCCCUCUCCCUUGCAUGCCACACCCCCAGGCGGCACGCACGCGCUGCAACUUGGCGAGGUCACCCAGAAGGUCACGGAGAUGCAGCUGCAGGGCGCAGACAAAGACCUGGCGAUGCAGCCCCUCUUCAGCCCCCUCCCCCGUGCGGUGAUCGGCAAAUCGCCGGCCCGUGACAAGACGCCAGCCAAGGCAAGAGCUACCCCGAAGCCAACUAGGCAGAGUGCCAGGCAGGCCAACAACCCCUCAACGAUUCCGGUCUCGCAGAGGGCCACGCUCCGCAUCAUGCACGAGCUGGGGAUCCUUGGUCCAAAGGAAAAGAUGACGGCUCAGGCGGUCGAAGCUCUCAUCCGCCGCUUCGACGAGCCGCUCUCGGACACCGACAUUGCUGCCAUCGCCAAGCUCACCGGCCUUGACGUCCGCGCACUCAAACUCAUUGCGGGGCCAAAAGACCAGGAUAGUGAGGCCCCGGGGCCGUCCGUUGCGCCAUGCCAGUAG